rnacentral:lncRNA from 1 species
UAAUGCUCACUACUGUGAUUAGUUCAGAGACACAUAAAGGUAAAGCCGAGGGGAGAAUUUAGCUCAUUUUUUGGUUUUAAGUUUUGACUUCCUAAAUUUUCUACCUGCUUUAUUUCCGCUAGGAAUUUUCAGGUUAUUUUACUGCCUCGUCUGGUAUGCUUGCUGCUGUUAUGCAAUCUGUUCUGUCCUUUGAUUUGAUUUUAUUUUAAAUUAAGGGAUGGGUGGCAAAUGUAGUUCCUUUUCCACUUCCCACUCACAGCUUCUAAAUGAAACAUAGGACUGGUAAGUUAUGAACACUUUUUCUGUAAAUUGAUCUUAUAUGCUGAGUUCAAUUUCUCAACAUGCUUUAACCCACAGUGUUCUGUUGCUCCAGAAGCGGUUUAGUCAUGCUGGCCACAUGACCUGGAAAGCUGUCUGUGGACAAACACAUCAUGCCCUUUAUUGAUUCUAGCAGUUUCUAUCAGGGUAAACCAUGUCAUUUGGCAGAGGGAGGCAACUGCCUCGUGCGGCAGGUAAUGUGGGGCAGGGGCAGCAGCCACCUGCCUGAUUCUCCCAUGUCCCCCAGCCAUUCCCCCUCUCUUGUAGGAUAGAACUGUAUGAGCCACACAACCUGUCUUGCACCCCCUAACAUAGGUGCAGCCAGGAUUUAUGUUGGGAGAGGCAGUGAACAACUUUUUUAUAUCCAUUUCAAAACAAUUGGUGUGUCCUAGGUAGGCUGAUGGUUGGAGUUAGAACACCAAUGAUAGCCAGGAAACUACACUAUAAUGAAAUAAAACACUGGUUCACAACAAACAUUAGCUAUGAGCUCUGCACUGAUCCAAACUGUAAACUUGAAUAAACUGAACUAUAUCAUCGGCUGAGGUCUCAGGGUUUUUUGCAGUAUAAAUAGGCUGUGAGAAACUUACAGUCAUUUCUAGACAAGCCCUGUAAGUGCACACUCUUAAGAGAAAAUGCCAGAAACUAUGAUAAACUUCCAGAACCAAGCUACCUGUGACAUGAUUGGUCAUUUCACGGAAGCCAUGCCCAUUGCUCAGUUGGGUUGUCAGUUGUGUCACUAGAAUGUGCCACACCAUCAUUUAAGUGACCUCAGAGAGCAUUUCAAAUAUUCUGAUUAUUUCUACUUUUAGUUAAGCAUUUUUAUUUAUUGAUUUGGAGGGGGACAGCUGCCUCCCCUGCCCCGUGGCUACGACCAUGCCCAGGGGUGUAGCAAGCCACUUGGGCGCCUGGGGUGGUGUGUGUGCCCAGGGGCAGGGCAAGCCACCCACUGGGCAAGGCGACCCAAGGCAGGGCCCAUGGAGUCCGCCUGCUGCCUCCCGCUCAGCACGGAGCCUGCAGGUGCCUGAGCCACCGCGUCACUCCCAGGAGAGACGUGUGGCUCGGGUGCACUGCAGGCCCCGCAGUAAAUGAGUGACACCCAGUGUGCCCUCCUGCCCCCUAACUACAUCUCUGACCAUGCCCCCUAAGGAACAUGCUUCACACAGGUGUGCUGGAUGAUGCUACCCAUAGAAUGUAUAUGUGGGCAGGGUACCGGGCAAGGAAUCACCAUCUAGUCCUUUGCCUCAGGCAGCAAAAUGUCAUGGGCCGGCCCUGGCUUCUAUGGGAAGCCUUCUUGUAUUCUGGUAGCCAAACUAGUUCAGGAAUUUCUAGCCAGUCUACAGGGAGUGUUUACUGUAGAUCGAAAGUGGGGCAUUGCUUCCUGCUUCUUUGACUGCCCACUUUGCUGUGGCUGCACAAUUUUCUGCAACUCAGUAGCUAAGGUGGGGAGGUGGGUUUGGCACUGGUGAAAGUUUAUUACACAUUUCCCCUAUUGACUUAAGAGGGGCACUGCUUGUCUGUUAACAGAACUGAACUUGAGAGCCAAUCUAACUUAAAAAAAGGUGUUUGUGUGUGUGUAGGAAAUUACUUACAUACUAUAUUUGUAUGGCUGCCCAGUAACAUGUUGUCUAGGCAGUUCACCCAAACAAAAAGUAUAAAAUAGAAUGAGAGAUAACCAACAUGAUGUGAGUGGAAGUCCACUCAUGAAAUGGGGCUUCUGCUUCUGCUCCAGAAGGCACCCCAACCCUCUAGAACAGGUUUUGGGAGAUCACAUGGGAGAUUAAAGGCAGGGAAGAAAGAAAAGGGAAGCCUCAAUCUGUUUGCAGUCUGUUCUGCUUGCAGGUGAGUAUCAGCCAUUAUUAAAAAUACAAUGCAAAGCAAUAAAAGGUGUGCAUAGCAGAGCGUUGAAUCAGAUUCAGAAGCCUAAAGGGCAAGGACGGUGGGGUUCAUCUGUGUCCGUUACAAUGCUUAGUGUAUUACUGGUGUAGUAACAAAUGUUAGGUGUAGUAAAACUGUCAGGGUACUAAAUCAUUGCAAUAAAUUAACAGUUACGGAGAAAGGGAUGCAAAGAUGGUGUGAAAUGGAAUCAUACACUUGUACGGUGCUUUAAUACUUCCCCUCUCUAUUUAAUUGAAGACCAGCUAGCAGCUUUAUAACACAAACUGUGGGAAAUGGCACAAACAUGCAGGCUCAACCCUUCAAAAUAGCUUAUUACCACUUUCUGACAGACCACAGCAAGACACCCAUUUAAGGCCUGCAUUUCACUUUGAGAGAGAUAGGUUGCAAACCUUUUCAUUUCUAACAUUUAAUUUUGUAACAGGAAACAUACAUUUUCUCUGCAUGUCUGGCAUUUCACAAGGAGCGUUUACUAAAAAAUUGCCUUAUGUUUUCCAUUAUCACAACUAUGUUAAGUGCCCGACUAAUGAAAAUUACAAAUAUGGUAGAAGAGUGUAGCCAUUUUCCCCCUGCCCCUGCUACAGCUUUAAAAUCAUUGUCCUUGUUCACAUGCAGAAGAAAAAUCAAUGCUGUCACAAACAGAUUUUGAUCUUGAUGGGUUACUGAAGUCACAAGAUUUUUAUGGAAUUGAUUGGGGCUUUUCUGUGAGUUGCUCAAUGAUUUUAUCUUCCGGCACUUGAUGAGUUUGUCUGGUCAAGAGAUGAAAGCAAAGUAUAGCAUUAAAACACUGUUUUAAGCCAAUGCCACAGAAUGAUUUUUCUAAAAAAUUCAUGGGGGAAAUAUAUCUAAAUUGCUCCUGUCAUAGCAAUCUUUGGGCAUCCCAACUCUCCUCUAUCUGACACAUUAUCAUCUCAAUACUAUAGAUUACUAAUGUUUUUGGUAUGGACUGUGGAUGAUUGGACUGGAUACAUUCUGAGUGCACUGAAAUGCUACAAAACCUGUUGAGGAACCUGUCGAUUGAGUAACUUGAACAAACAAAAGCCAGACAAAUGCCAUGGCUAAAAAGUACAGUAAGUUGUGUUAGAUGCUAUAUGGGCAUGAAUACAGACAGAAAUGUGAGCUUUUGAACAGAAAAGCUAAAGUUCAGAGGAAUUCUAGUUUAUAGACCUUGAGAAAUCAGUGGUCUGAGAGAUAAAAUAUAAAACACUGGAAAACAAGAAAUGUGAAUUCCACACACAUGACUGAAUUUCGCCAGGGGAAAAUGAUGCUGUGUAAGGUCUUGGGUUUUUUAAACAGGCCAUUAAUAUUAAAGGAAUACAAAUGUAUAUUUUAAUGUAAUGCUUGGGCCCACUUCAUUCUUAGGGCAUCAGAUGUUCCAUAAACUGUGGGACUGGGGUCAAGAGUAGGUUGGUCUGUGUUGUAAAGAUAGUUUGUGAUGAGAUGCCUUCAGGCUUGGGCACACGCAAAUGUAAUCUCUGAGAUAGUUCACAUACACACUUCUCUUACUAACUGCAACAUCAAGAGGUGACUUCCACAUACACUUGUCACUGUGAAGCUAACACUGCAGACAGAAGUUUGAGUAUCAGCUGAUGCCACCUUCCCUGUGAUACGGGCAAUCAAGUGAUGAUACAUUUGUAUGUGAAUCAGCCCUGAGAUUCAAUGAGCCUGACCUAAUUUCAUAAUUAAUUCAAAAUCCUAGAUUGAUUUUCUGGAUGUCCAGCAGACAUCAAGAAGAUUAAUCUGAGAUGCCAAAUUAAUUAUAAAUCAACCUGCCUGUUGCACACAUCUCUAAAUUUGUUGCUGGGGGGAAAACAAUCUUUCAGAGAUCCAGUGCAUCCACUGAGGCUGUGAAUGCUGUAUGGCUGGUGGUUAUGUUUCAUAGGAAUGUCUUCAAUAUUGCUUCUGACGUUAUAGUAAAGUGCAACACAGCUACCUAAAUUCCAAUGCUUGUGUACUUUUUAAUGUUGCACUUCCAUUUUAAAAGAUCCUUAGGUCAAGAGUGGCUGGGGGAACCCAACCAGAUGAGUGGGGUGUAAACAAUAAAAUUAUGAUUAUUAUGGGUGGUGAGUGUUUUCAUACAGUACUGCUUAAGGAUGGAGCACUCAUGCAGCACCUUAUAGCAGCUCCUUGCACUGACUCUAAACCUCUGCUGCCCUGCAGGAUAUCUUCAGGAGAAGAAAAGACUAAGGAAUAAAACCUACACAAAUCUGAAGUGGAGUUCCUCAUUCCAGCAACUCCUGCAGCCCAGCUGGUGCCAAAUGUCUUGCUCUGCUUUCCUUUGGACCACCUCAAUGAGGGCUUGUCUUCUGGGCAGCCCAGGACCUCUAUACACACUGCCCAGGCUUGCGUCCUGGGGAAGUCAUUUUGGUGCUGCUAACACAGCAGUUUGACUUCACCCCCAGAGGCACACUCCAUUGUCUCUCGAGACCGACAAAUGCCAGCAACAAUGCUCUGCUUUCUCAACAUCAUGUGUAAUAAUAUGCACCUCUAUCCUGUCCCCUUGUCUUUCCCCCUAAACGAUAACCUCCAAAUGCUGUAACCUCAUGUUUUCCCCGCCUCCAGUCUCAAAGCUGCCUAACACGAUGAAGCUUACCCUCAAUGCCAUAAUACUUCAAAAAAUGUGAAUGGAAGUAUUUUUCAAAUCGUAUGUCUAGAGCAAUCCUAAUCUACUUUAUUCAUGUGAAGGCCUUGAGAAAUCUCUUGAGCCUCUUGAAUAAACGGAAUUAUGUUGUAGAACUCAUUCUUUACUUUGGAGAUUUACAAUUAUCAGUGUAUAAAAUGUUCCCCAACAAAACAGAAAAGAGCAUGACUAGAUUGAGGCCUAUUCUCCCCCACCCAACCCGCCUCCUGCCUGAUUACCGUAAUGAGAAUAGAAGCAUACUUCCUGGCCGCUCCACCAUCCUGUCACUGGGGCUGCUCUCACUGCCUUCUAUGCAUUGGGGCUGAACCUCUGCAGCAGGAAGCCUGUUCUAUUUGUGGGGGCUCCCUGUACAAUUCAGAACCCUGGAAGACGGGUUCUGAAUUGCAAGGGGGGCCUGCAUAAGUAGAAAGGUCUCGCUCCUGCAGAAGUUGGGAUUGAGCACGCAGAGGGCUGCAGGCAUGCCAACUGUAAUGUGACGAGCGAAAGGUUAUCACAUGAGGUGGAGCACCUGAAAAGGGCUUAGCUCAAGAGGAAAAGACUAGAGCAGCCCCUGUAUGAUUAAUGCAAACACUGAGCUGGGUCUUGCCUUGGCUCUCUAUGCAGGGACAAAAACAGACCUUUACGGUUGUGAUUGGGCCCAUUUAUUGAUAGCAACAGGCUGCUUAAUUGUACAGUAUCAGGAAAAUUCAGUCAGUCCAAAAUACCAGAGAAUAAGUGUUGAGAUAUUAUGGGAUGUCUGAAACUGACAGAUUUUAUUCUACCCAUCUAGGUAAACCUAUACUCCUAUAUAGAGAAAGUACAAUUAAGAUGGGUUUUUUUCCAGGAUUGGAGCAGACACAAAAGCAUAACCAGGAACAGUUCAGUAAGUUAGCAUAAAACCAUUUUAAACAGAAGCAUUUUCAAAAAUCAACACCUAAAAUAUUUUAAGUAAAAGCAAUCUGGAAGAGAUGAGUUUUGCUGGUCCAUUUAGGCAUAUAUAGAAGAGGCCAGCACAAUUCAGCAGGGAGGGAAUUCCAAAGUCGGGGUGGAGUGGGAGAUCACCACUAAAAAAGACCUUGCCUCUUGUGCCUAUCAACCAACCUAACCAAUAGUAUUGAUGGGUCCACAAGCAGGGAUUUCAAAGUUGUUCUUAAUGUAGGAGCAGACUCAUCUGAAGGAAUCCUUCAGAUGACUGACCCUAAUUGUAGAGGGUUUUAAAGAUAACACCAGCAUGCAUGCAUUAACCAGAGAUAAUCUUUUAUUUUAUUUAUAAUAGCUAUAUAUAUAAUUAAUUUACAGUGUAAUCCUAACCAUUUCUACUCAGAAACUAGUCAGGAAUGGCCAUGGAAGCUCAGUUGUAGAACGUGCACUCUACAUGCAAAAAACCACAGUUCUCUAGAGAGGGGUGGGAGAGAACCUUCUGAAAUCCUGGGAAUCACUGCGAGUUAUUGUAGGCAGUUGCCUUAGACUGAGUCGGACCAUUUGUCUAUCUAGCUCAGUACUGUCCACAACUGACUGGUCUUUAACUGGUGGCUUGAUCCAAGGUGGGUUGCAACACGAGUGCUACCAUCAUGCAAAUACAUGGGGAAAGAUUCAGAAAUGCUUGUUAGGUUCAAGAGUGGGUCCUUGGAAAAGGUUAAAAAUACUUGGUCUACAGUGACUGGCAGUGAUUCACCAAGAUUUCAUUUGGCCCAAAACAGUAUAAUGUUAUGUGGGGUGCCUGGACCCCGCUUCUAAUUCCUGGGUGCAAGAUGCUGGAUUUAGCAUGUUAAAAUACAAGCCAGUAGCCAGCCUGGUAAUGGUCUCUGUGCCAGAGAGCAAAUGGGGAGAGGGCCUCCCUUAACUUAGAAUAAUUUAGAAAGACAAAGGCCUCUGAAGUAGAGUUUUAGAGUUGGCAGGAGAGUAGUAGUCCCUAGGAUCACAGUCAAGGAUGACAGGGGCUGGAGGAAAAAUAGUGGCAGUCUGUUAAAUACAGCAAGCUGGAGAGGGGAACCAGAGCACAAUGUGAGCUGCCUGCUUGAAUUGGAGGUUGCAGCAAUGGGAGACACAGGACCCUCUUGGAGUGUAAUGCUUUGAACCCCUCCAUUGUAGACUCAGGCUGUAUACAUAUGUAAAUAAACCAUGUAUCCU